rnacentral:rRNA from 1 species
CAGUCGCCGCGGGAAUACGUAGGUGGCAAGCGUUGUCCGGAAUUAUUGGGCGUAAAGGGCUCGCAGGCGGUUUCUUAAGUCUGAUGUGAAAGCCCCCGGCCCAACCGGGGAGGGUCAUUGGAAACUGGGAAACUUGAGUGCAGAAGAGGAGAGCGGAAUUCCACGUGUAGCGGUGAAAUGCGUAGAGAUGUGGAGGAACACCAGUGGCGAAGGCGGCUCUCUGGUCUGUAACUGACGCUGAGGAGCGAAAGCGUGGGGAGCGAACAGGAUUAGAUACCCCUGUAGUCCCUGUCUCUUAUAC